rnacentral:rRNA from 1 species
UGAAGAAUAAGCACCGGCUAACUACGUGCCAGCAGCCGCGGUAAUACGUAGGGUGCGAGCGUUAAUCGGAAUUACUGGGCGUAAAGCGAGCGCAGACGGUUACUUAAGCAGGAUGUGAAAUCCCCGGGCUCAACCUGGGAACUGCGUUCUGAACUGGGUGACUAGAGUGUGUCAGAGGGAGGUAGAAUUCCACGUGUAGCAGUGAAAUGCGUAGAGAUGUGGAGGAAUACCGAUGGCGAAGGCAGCCUCCUGGGAUAACACUGACGUUCAUGCUCGAAAGCGUGGGUAGCAAACAGGAUUAGAUACCCUGGUAGUCCACGCCCUAAACGAUGUCAAUUAGCUGUUGGGCAACUUGAUUGCUUAGUAGCGUAGCUAACGCGUGAAAUUGACCGCCUGGGGAGUACGGUCGCAAGAUUAAAACUCAAAGGAAUU